rnacentral:rRNA from 1 species
UACGUAGGAGGCAAGCGUUGUCCGGAAUUACUGGGCGUAAAGCGCGUGUAGGUGGUGGGACAAGUCUGCUGUGAAAGCGCCUGGCUUAACCGGGCGAGGUCGGCGGAAACUGUCCGACUCGAGGACGGUAGAGGGGGGUGGAAUUCCCGGUGUGAGUGGUGAAAUGCGUAGAGAUCGGGAGGAACACCUGUGGCGAAGGCGGCCCCCUGGGCCGGCCCUGACACUGAGACGCGAAGGCGUGGGGAGCGAACGGG